rnacentral:rRNA from 1 species
GACGAACGCUGGCGGCGUGCUUAACACAUGCAAGUCGAGCGGAAAGGCCCUUCGGGGUACUCGAGCGGCGAACGGGUGAGUAACACGUGAGUAACCUGCCCCAGACUUUGGGAUAACCCUCGGAAACGGGGGCUAAUACCGGAUGCGACACAGCUUCGCAUGGGGUCUGUGUGGAAAGUUUUUCGGUUUGGGAUGGGCUCGCGGCCUAUCAGCUUGUUGGUGGGGUGAUGGCCUACCAAGGCGACGACGGGUAGCCGGCCUGAGAGGGCGACCGGCCACACUGGGACUGAGACACGGCCCAGACUCCUACGGGAGGCAGCAGUGGGGAAUAUUGCACAAUGGGCGGAAGCCUGAUGCAGCGACGCCGCGUGAGGGAUGACGGCCUUCGGGUUGUAAACCUCUUUCAGCAGGGACGAAGCGUAAGUGACGGUACCUGCAGAAGAAGCGCCGGCCAACUACGUG